rnacentral:rRNA from 1 species
UACGGGGGGGGCAAGCGUUGUUCGGAAUCACUGGGCUUAAAGGGCGCGUAGGCGGCCACCGCAAGUCGACUGUGAAAUCUCCGGGCUUAACCCGGAAAGGUCAGCCGAUACUGCGGGGCUAGAGUGCAGAAGGGGCAACUGGAAUUCUCGGUGUAGCGGUGAAAUGCGUAGAUAUCGAGAGGAACACCUGCGGCGAAGGCGGGUUGCUGGGCUGACACUGACGCUGAUGUGCGAAAGCUAGGGGAGCGAACGGG